rnacentral:tRNA from 1 species
GCCUCCAUAGCUCAGGGGUUAGAGCACUAGUCUUGUAAACUAGGGGUCGAGAGUUCGAAUCUCUCUGGAGGCA